rnacentral:misc_RNA from 1 species
UCCAUUAUUCCAAGAACGGAAACCAACCCCUUAGGGGCGCAGAUUAUUUACUCCCUAUGGUCCGCGUUCAAUGAUUUCUUCGGAUUGCGGCAACUUCAUGGAUUAAAUAUACGCCCUCACCGCUUAUGAUUAACUUCAUACGGACAUUUUCUGUUGUGCAUUGUUAAUGAAGCUGCAGCUUAUUAUCAGCUUCUGAAUAAGGGCUUUCUACACUGCGACGUUCGUUAUUCCGCGCAGUCUCAUUGUUGUGUCCUCAUAUAUACCGUGAUGUGCUUCACGUUAAUUUAUCAUGUUUGAAUUCAAAUUAACAUUUAAUCAGCAAUGUUAAAACUGUUAAUGACCAUUUUGAGUUGAAGCAGGAGGCCUCAUUGAUUACGAAAUUAUCACGAUCACGAAAUUAAUAAGGAAAUAAAAAUCACGCUUCAAAAAUCAUGGAAAUUAGUUUCGGUUAUUAUACUAAAUGUAGGUUUAAUUCUUGUUGGUUUGAUUAAUAAUAAUACAUACUGGGUACGUUAUGUUGUCUAGUUCACGUAAUAUCGUCACACUCCGUGGUCGUGUAAUAUCCAAGAGAUUGGUAUGGAACAGGGUGUUACGUUUGAUUCUCAGUGUCUGACGUUAAAAAAUAAAAGUAAAAAUAACGAUUGAAUAAAUGACUGUUUCGUCUAACCGUACGCUCUUUAACUACGCUGCGUGUACAUGGUGGAGACUAAUAAUUAUCUAGCCAUUUAAGAUCUGUGGCUGCUGCAUUUUUGCGGUGAUGUCUUAUACCAUAACUAAUUAUUAUCUGACGAGGAAAACUUUGAAAACAGAACUUCACGAACAAAGAGUCGAAGAAGCUUUCUCGGAGAUCGAGCAACCUUGAGGAACGAGUAAACGCGGCUCUAUAAUAAUUCUGCGCAGUAGAUGAAGGCGGUCUCUAUUCGGGUCUCUGCACAAUGCUUUAAGAUGCCGUCUUUGCUGGAAGCCUUGGAGCUGAAAUACGGCAGUUCAACAACUGAUUGUUCUUUGACCGACGAAGAAACGGAAUCGGGUUCCCCGAAAACGGCGUUAUCAGUAAGCAUUUUCGUCCCAAAAAAGUCCCCACGUCACACAGUUCCGGCGUUGCUUGUCCUCCAAGAUUGCGACAUUGAAUCCGCGGGUAAUGACGACGAGAAAUUGAAAAAUAAAUGCAAGAAUGUCGAGGAACUUGACCUAGCACAAAAUAAGCUAACCCAGUGGACAGAAAUUUUUGGUAUUCUUCAGCACAUGCCUAAAAUAAAAUUCGUCAAUCUGAGCUUUAACAGCCUUGCGGAUGACCUCGAAAUAAAAGACGGUAGAUACGAUUCUUUGAAAAACUUGGUGCUUAACGGAACGCACGCUUCAUGGCCGACGGUCCAAGGCCUGAUAAAGUUGUUGAAGAAUUUAGAGGAGUUGCAUCUCUCGUUGAACGAGUACAAAACUGUUGAUCUCGAAUUCGAGAGAGGAGGUAACGAAAAUACCUGUAUAAAAAAGCUUCACUUUACCGGAAACCCUAUUGAGGUAUGGUCGGAAAUUUCGAAACUUGGUUACGUAUUCCCGAACUUGGAGAGUUUGGUCUUGGCAGAGUGUCCCAUCAGAUCACUUAGUCUUGAGGAAAAUCGGAAUACGUUACCGAGAUCGGUCUCCCAGGAUAAACUACCCCCGAAGACCGAAGACAACGAGAAUAAGAAUCUCCCCGAUUCGGAAUCCUCCGACGGGUGUCAGGAAAAUCGAAUAUUCACCGAAGAAAAAGCCUUCUACAACAGAACGGAAUCUGAGUGCGAAUCGAGCAGCACCAAAGUAAAAUCAGCUCACGAUCCUUUCCGAAAGUUGAAAUUUCUCAACGUAAACGGUACGCUUUUAUCAGCUUGGGACGACGUGGAGAGAAUCGCUAGGUUCCCAGCUUUGAAAUCCCUGAGGAUUCAAGGGUGUCCCUUGUUCGAAAGUCCGCAAGAAUACACAGAGCAUGAAAGGCGGCAGUUUCUUAUCGCGCGGCUCCCGAAUGUGGAGACACUCAAUGGAGGCGGAGCAAUCUCAGCCCAAGAACGUGAAGAUGCGGAACGUGCCUUCAUUCGGUACUAUAUGGACAAACCGGAAGCCGAUCGUCCCGAAAGAUUCUCCGAACUGGUCGGGAUUCAUGGCAAACUAGACCCAUUGGUCCACGUAGAUCUGAAACCAGAAAAGCGAGUCAAGGUCAAAUUUACCUACGGAGAUCUUGUUGAGAAUUAUUGGUUCCUCGAGCGGCACUUCGCAAUGCAUGAGAUUGCUAUGUAUGAUUAAUUUUGUCCCAUUACCAUACCCAACACUACAUAAAACUUUCCCAACCCUUGCAUUACGUCCGAGGAAAUGAAAACGAUGUAUGGACCGGAAGAAAUGCUUUACCCGAACAAGCAACUUUACCGUUAUAACAUAGGACACGGGGACGAGAUAAUCAUU